CCUACGGGUGGCAGCAGUGGGGAAUAUUGCACAAUGGGCGCAAGCCUGAUGCAGCCAUGCCGCGUGUGUGAAGAAGGCCUUCGGGUUGUAAAGCACUUUCAGCGGGGAGGAAGGCGUUAAGGUUAAUAACCUGGGCGAUUGACGUUACCCGCAGAAGAAGCACCGGCUAACUCCGUGCCAGCAGCCGCGGUAAUACGGAGGGUGCAAGCGUUAAUCGGAAUUACUGGGCGUAAAGCGCACGCAGGCGGUCUGUCAAGUCGGAUGUGAAAUCCCCGGGCUCAACCUGGGAACUGCAUUCGAAACUGGCAGGCUAGAGUCUUGUAGAGGGGGGUAGAAUUCCAGGUGUAGCGGUGAAAUGCGUAGAGAUCUGGAGGAAUUCCGGUGGCGAAGGCGGCCCCCUGGACAAAGACUGACGCUCAGGUGCGAAAGCGUGGGGAGCAAACAGGAUUAGAUACCCGGGUAGUC
rnacentral:rRNA from 1 species